AAUGGGUCAGCGACUUAUAUUCUGUAGCAAGGUUAACCGAAUAGGGGAGCCGAAGGGAAACCGAGUCUUAACUGGGCGUUAAGUUGCAGGGUAUAGACCCGAAACCCGGUGAUCUAGCCAUGGGCAGGUUGAAGGUUGGGUAACACUAACUGGAGGACCGAACCGACUAAUGUUGAAAAAUUAGCGGAUGACUUGUGGCUGGGGGUGAAAGGCCAAUCAAACCGGGAGAUAGCUGGUUCUCCCCGAAAGCUAUUUAGGUAGCGCCUCGUGAAUUCAUCUCCGGGGGUAGAGCACUGUUUCGGCAAGGGGGUCAUCCCGACUUACCAACCCGAUGCAAACUGCGAAUACCGGAGAAUGUUAUCACGGGAGACACACGGCGGGUGCUAACGUCCGUCGUGAAGAGGGAAACAACCCAGACCGCCAGCUAAGGUCCCAAAGUCAU
rnacentral:rRNA from 1 species